GAUGAACGCUGGCGGCGUGCCUAAUACAUGCAAGUCGAGCGAACAGACGAGGAGCUUGCUCCUCUGACGUUAGCGGCGGACGGGUGAGUAACACGUGGAUAACCUACCUAUAAGACUGGGAUAACUUCGGGAAACCGGAGCUAAUACCGGAUAAUAUAUUGAACCGCAUGGUUCAAUAGUGAAAGACGGUUUUGCUGUCACUUAUAGAUGGAUCCGCGCCGCAUUAGCUAGUUGGUAAGGUAACGGCUUACCAAGGCAACGAUGCGUAGCCGACCUGAGAGGGUGAUCGGCCACACUGGAACUGAGACACGGUCCAGACUCCUACGGGAGGCAACAGUAGGGAAUCUUCCGCAAUGGGCGAAAGCCUGACGGAGCAACGCCGCGUGAGUGAUGAAGGUCUUCGGAUCGUAAAACUCUGUUACUAGGGAAGAACAAAUGUGUAAGUAACUAUGCACGUCUUGACGGUACCUAAUCAGAAAGCCACGGCUAACUACGUG
rnacentral:rRNA from 1 species